rnacentral:rRNA from 1 species
CCUACGGGUGGCAGCAGUGAGGAAUAUUGGUCAAUGGUCGGAAGGCUGAACCAGCCAAGCCGCGUGAGGGAGGAAGGCCCAGAGCGUCGUAGACCUCUUUUGUCGGGGGACAAAAGGCCGGACUCGUCCGGUUCUGAGGGUACCCGGAGAAAAAGCAUCGGCUAACUCCGUGCCAGCAGCCGCGGUAAUACGGAGGAUGUGAGCGUUAUCCGGAUUUAUUGGGUUUAAAGGGUGCGCAGGCGGGCCUUUAAGCCGGCGGUGAAAUCGCGGGGCUCAACCCCGCCGAGCCGUGGGAACUGGGGGCGUUGAGUGCGGGGGAGGCAUGCGGAAUUCGCGGUGUAGCGGUGAAAUGCAUAGAUAUCACGCAGAACCCCGAUUGCGAAGGCAGCGUGCCGUGGCGCUACUGACGCUGAGGCACGAAAGCGCGGGGAUCGAACAGGAUUAGAUACCCUAGUAGUC